GCCGGUGUUGGCGGUGGCAGCAGUCCCCCAGGUCCCAGCUGGAGCGGGAUCGGUGGCUGUCAGGGCUUGGGGAAGGGACAGAAGCCCGUCUGCCCGGGGGGGUGUGCGCGGGGCGCGCAGGAGGCAGCAGCAGGGAGGAUUUUCCAUGUUCCUUUUGGGAUGGGGAGGUUCAUAGGUGGAAGUGAUGGGGGAGUAGGAGGUUUGAUUUCCCCUCCACUCCCCUGAUUUAUUUUUUUUUACCUGUGGGACUGAACUGAUCACCUGCCUCAGAUCUUGAGACUGAAGUAAACUUGAGAAAGCUUAGGAGUGUAGUCUGUUUACUUGUUUCCUGACUGGCAGUAGGAAUUUCUUCUCCUGUUCUUUUCUCGCUGCUGUGCUCUUACAGGUGUUUCUUCCAAACUGAGAUGUAUGAAGAGGUGUUAUCAUUUACUGCUUAUGUUCUCUCUUUUACAAGUCCUGUGUCUGGUGGAUUUUCGUGGUCACUGCUGGUCUGUUUGCUAAUAAGUCCAACGUUUGUUUUACUACUUCUUUAUUUAUCUUGGUUUUUUAUUGAGCUUUUGUGUUCAGAAAUGGUGGAUUGACAGAUGGUGCUUAGUCUGAACUCUUAGUAUUCUUUCAGCUGCGAUGCAAGGGACCAGAAAGUUUUCUAAUAGGUUGACACUUGCACUGUGCCUCAGGAAGGAUGAGGGCUCCAGGAAGGUACAUCUCAGAUGUACCUGUCCCAUCAGAUGCUGUUAGACAGCUGCUUGAGGGUUGUACUUGAUUUGUUUUUAGUGGUAACUUGAAUUUAUUUUGUCCUGUAGUUGCUCUUUGCAACGUUGUAGCAUCUCAUAGCGCUUGAUGUUAAAGUUGGCAUUUGAACUUCUGUUUUGAAAUUAAGUAGUAUGUUAGAAGUCCAGUUGUUUACUCUUCAGUGUGUAGGCUUGGGAAGUUUGAUUUCGGUUGUUUUUUUUAAUUCAGAUAUUUUUGUUUCCCUUUUUGAAGCACUGAAUUCUGCCCUUUGCAGCUGGAUUUUAAUGUUAAUUUGCAGCGUGGACUAAAUGCCUGUUUUUGAUUGAAGAGUGACCCUGUGGCCCUUUUAUGGUUCUUGUUUAUCUCAAACUUUGGGUAGCUCUACAUGAAUGGUGUGUUGGGUUUUUUUAAUAAAGUUAGUGUGUGUCUAGACGUAUUUGAGUGUUACCAAAAUCCAAAAGAAGAAAGUGAUUAAAGAAUUAAAGAAAAUGCUUGUGUGCUUGAUGCUAAAUAAAGAAGUCCUUGGAUUGAAUAUACUCUGAUAGGACCUAAAGUUUCUGUUCUGCUCUUGAGAGACACUUCAGUUUGCUUCCUUUAGGAGGCCUGAUUACAGCUGGCUUGGUGCUUAUCUUGUUUUGAUUCUGCUAACUUUGGAAGGCCUUGAUUUGAUUUUUAUCCCCCCCCCCCCAUUAAAUUUUAGAAAUGGAGUUCUGGAAGAGGCUUAAAUGGGACAAGUAUUUGCACUUUACUCUGUCCCUGUCUCAGUUCAGUGGUCACCUUUAGGAAAGGGCCACAAGGCCAGAGAGUGCAGGUGUGGUGGCAUCCAGCUGUGGCUGCAGGAGAGCACGGAAGGCUGUAAGCAGCUGUGCUUUUGUCACAAGUCUGUCCUUGGAUCUGAAGCAGGUAUUUUUGCUGGAAGUGGUCAUCCUGAGACUCACUGUUUUUCUCUAGUAGUGGUGAGCUAACAUACCAGCAUGGUGCCACGGCAAGCAGGGGAAUGAGGGAAGAAGAGGAAAAGUUGUGGCUCUCAAAGCAUAACCUAGAGCAGAGGUGCUGGCUGUUGCUGCUAGGUAUCAUUUGGACCAUUUCCCUCCUCUAAGAGAAGUGAUCUGUGCUGGCCAAAUGCCAGCUGAGAAGUUAUAUUCUCUCCAGAUAUGUUGUGCAGAGUCAACAUCUUCCCUGGCUGGUUUUCCAGACUCACUGAGGCUGGAUUGUGUGGAAACCAUGCCCUGGUUGGAGCAUUUGCCAGUCUACCUGGACAGAGCUUUAACACUUUUGGAGUUCAUUUGUGAAGAUCAAAAGUGACCACUGUGUUGAGCAACGUAAAUCUCGUCUCCUUGGAUCCAGACUGAGAUUCAUUUGGCACUCUCAGGUGUUAACCUUCAUUUUUUCAGAUAACAAAGUGACCAGUCCUUUGCUGUGUGGAACUUCUUCAGACUCCAGCUUAGACCCGUUUGCUCAUCUGCAGUUACUCUUGGAGGAGGUUUAAAAAUACACAGCAAAGCCUGUCUUAGGAGACCAGUCAAGGAGCUGACGAAAGUGGGUUGCCUAGCAGAGGUGGCCUAAUAAAAUUGGAGUGGAAUUAUACUGUGCAUCUUUGGGACAGCUUCUGGGUGGUCUGUUUGGACGAGUUCACGUCCUGCUGGUGUGGAGUCUCGUGUGGGUUUCACUGUGUUGUCAAGUGAACUGAGAUGUGUUUGUUUCCCAGCCUUGUAGGGUGCCAUAGCUCCAGCAAGUGCUCCCCUAAGUAAUCAGCGCCUUCAGC